UGCCGGUGACAAACCGGAGGAAGGUGGGGAUGACGUCAAAUCAUCAUGCCCCUUAUGACCUGGGCUACACACGUGCUACAAUGGAUGGUACAAAGGGCUGCAAGACCGCGAGGUUAAGCGAAUCCCAUAAAACCAUUCUCAGUUCGGAUUGCAGGCUGCAACUCGCCUGCAUGAAGCUGGAAUCGCUAGUAAUCGCGGAUCAGCAUGCCGCGGUGAAUACGUUCCCGGGCCUUGUACACACCGCCCGUCACACCACGAGAGUUUGUAACACCCGAAGUCGGUGGGGUAACCUUUUGGAGCCAGCCGCCUAAGGUGGGACAGAUGAUUGGGGUGAAGUCGUAAC
rnacentral:rRNA from 2 species